rnacentral:rRNA from 1 species
CCUACGGGAGGCAGCAGUGAGGAAUAUUGCUCAAUGGGCGAAACCCUGAACCAGCAACGCCGCGUGAAGGAUGACGGCUUUAUGGUUUUAAACUUCUUUUGUUAGGGAAGUUUAUUACGGUAUCUAACCCAGAAGCACUGGCCAUCUCCAUUCCAGCAGCCGCGGUACGACGGAGGGUGCAAGCGUUAGUCGGAUUCACUGGGCGUAAAGGGGGCGUAGGCGGUGUAAUAAGACAGAUGUGAAAUCCUGUGGCUUAACUACAGAACUGCAGUUGAAACUGUCACUCUGGAGUGUGGGAGAGGUAGGUGGAAUUCUUGGUGUAGCGGUGAAAUGCGUAGAGAUCACGAAGAAUACUGAUUGCGAAGGCAACCUGCUGGAACGUUACUGACGCUGAUGCACGAAAGUGUGGGGAGCAAACAGGAUUAGAUACCCUGGUAGUC